AUACUUUACUAUAAAAGAACUAAUACUGAGGACACGGGUGCAGACAAUGUUGAAGGUAGAUGAAUGAAAAGGUAGAGUACAUAAAAUUAUUUAAUUUAUGCUCGUAGGCAACAGUAAACUAUUGAUAAAGAAAAAUGUUUCGAAACGAAGUUCUGUUAUAAAUGUUUUAAAAGGCCAUAAAAUUAACGAUGCUUGUUAAAAUUGUAUAUUAACUCUUAUAAAUAAAAUUUAAUUACUAUUUU